UCAGAGUUGGGCAAACACGGACCCCUGGAUAUAUCAGAGAUAGGAUCCGGUGCCUAGGGGAGUAAGCAUCCCCUAUUGCCUCUCACACUCGCCGUGAGCCCUAUAUCUUAAUCACGUAAACGGAGUAAUCCGCAGUGAAAAUUAGUACGUAAAGAACAGCCUAACUGUUGGUUAAUUGAUUGUACAUGUAUAUUGUUUAACGUCCCUCUCGAUAAUUUUUCACUUAUAUGGAGACGUUACCAUUGCCAGUAAAGGGCUGCAAAAUUUAGGCCUAUGCUCGGCGCUUAUGGCCUUUGAGCAGGGAGAGAUCUUAAUCGUGCCAUACCUCGGUUUUUCCAGUCUCAUCCAAAGUACCGCCGCAAUUAGUCGCCUCUUACGACAAGCAAGGGGUACUGAGGACCUAUUUCAACCCGGAUCCCCACGGGACGCCUAACUAUUGUUCAAUAUGAAACAUGUCAGACAGCUGCGAAUUGCUUACCUUAAACGAGACUUUUGAAACCCUUGUAACAUCAACUUGUUAGUCAGUAGCCUGCCUCGAUUUAAAAACUGAUCAUACACAGAAGAUGCUCUUGCAUAUCAAAUCAGUUGAGAGACAUGAACACCCAUGUACAAGUGAUAACGGAAUACUAGUAUAGCUAUAGUGAGAGAUAUAAACACCAUAUGCAGGUGAUAACGGAAUAGUGCUACAGUAUAUAGAUAUGGGAAAUCGACGACGGAGAAGUUGAAGUCACCUGUUUAUCAUAAAGUUGAGUUGAUAGUUUGCCGUUGAAAUCUAUUUUCAAUAAAAUAUCCAAGUAUUAACUAUUAAGCAGAUGUGGAAGACUCUGUGUUGUCUGUUAUUUCGAGUUCACUGGGAAAUAUCGAAUCGACAUAUGCCGUAUCUCUACUGGAUUCAUAAAUUGAAUUUUUUUUUUUUAAAAACCCUUACAAACAGAUACAUUGCUGGAUCCAGUAAAUGUUCUCCCAAGCUCCUAUCUUUGAUUCUCACAAAAAUAUUAACUGUGGUGAAGGAGAAACGUCAAACGUAAUGUGCCACGACAUUUGCCAGAAUGUGGAUUCUAAACAAUUCUAAAGAACUUUUAGUAAAUUUCAAAUCACAAAACUUUCCUCAAUUCAACAACAUCAAAACGUACGAGUUUUCAACAUUUUUACACGACCAUCCCUCAAGAUAAAUUAAAGACUAUGCCUUUUGACAUCAUAGGCAGUAGCUUUUCAAUAAAUAUGAAAAAUAUUCAUAUCUUAUGAUCAGUCAUCUGAAAUUGAUAUUUAAAAGAUGCUGGAGUUCCUAAUUGACAAUAUUGUCGUACGUAGUCUUUAAUGAUCAGGUCUAACAUGUGAAAUAAUGCCUCAUAAAUACGUACGUGCGAUUAUUUAACAACGUACAAGGUGAAUGUUUUUUUUCGAAAUUCAGACCAUACACCUUUAACAAUAAUCAUUUCCAUUCUUAUGUCGAUUCGAUAUAUCAUGGUGAACUCGAAAUAACAGACACCCGAGUAUUUUAUUGAACACAGAUGUUAACGGCAAACUAACAAAUCAACUCUAUGAUAAACGGGAUUACUUCAGCUUCUCCAUUAUUACAAGCAUAUCGUGUUUAUGUCCCUCAACUGAUGCGAUAAGAGCUUGUUCUGCGAAUGAUCAGUUAUAGAUCGAAGCAGGUUAGUGACCUACAAGGGUUUCAACAGUCUCGUUUGAAGUCAGCAUUUCGAAAAUUUUAUGGUCGUUAUAACGAUCUAAUUUACC